CUUGCAGACUGGUUCCCUCUGCAGGCAAACACGUUGUGAUUAUCUCACGUUGCACAGGGAUAAUAAUUGUCACAGUGUUCGCAGGGAUCAUUCAAAAAUGCACAGCACAGAGACUCAUUAUUCAACUUCACUCUUCCAUACCUAUUAUGAUAUACAUCAUCGGAAUGAUGACUUUCAGGACGAUAUUUCAACAGCACAUGUCUUUCUCUUGAUGUAUUGGGUUUCAUACCAUCGCUUUUAAAGCAACACAGAAUUCCUGGAUGAAACCUCUGGGUGACAGGAGAUACAAGACAGUGAUGCCUCCCAUUCACUUUCCAUCUGUAAAACCUUUCCUGCAGAAACACAAGCCUUAUGUCUAUCCCACAAAGGGGGUGGACUGAACAGGCGGAAAUACAACCCUAAUGUCAAUUCAUCAUCGCAGCUCACACUGGAGAAGUACAUUUUGUGGUUUCCUGAACUUCAACCAGGCAAGCACAGACUGAAGAGAAUAGAGUCAGUACACUCAAAGAUUCUCCCUACAGAAGUGUCUUCUUAUGAGGCCCACCAAAUGCAUGAAGACCAAAAUUGCUUUAUUACAAGUUUUGCAGAUGGUAUCAAGGUUCCCGUCAACAAGGCCAGAUGGAAUCUGAAGCUAGUAAACAACAGCAGAGAAGCAGGGUCCCUAAAACCGAGCCCAGUGCUGUCAUCAUCUGCCGUCCCAGACUGCAGACAGUUGAGGCCUCGGCAGCCAUCCAAUCGCAGGACAUCCUCAAUCCAAAGAUGUCCUCAGUACUGAGAAUCCUUCAUCUGAUGACAUUUCUAAGACUCCAAGCAAGAGAAAGAAGAAAAGAUUAUCAACAUAUGGCUAAGAAACAGUAGUGCCCAAGUGGUCAAACUCAAUGUUAAACAUCUCAGAACCAAGGACUCCCACUGUCUUGGGGGGAAGUGUAAGAGGAAUCCCUGUCCAAUCCCUUCUUCAGCUAGAACAGGUUGUUCCAUUUUCUCUAUCUAGGUGCUUCCCAUUAAAGGAGCUCACUUCUUCCCAAAGCAAAACACACCACAGCUAAAAUAACUUUAGAAUGUUUUUAAAUAUCUAACAAAUUCCAAAUGGAGGACAUUUCCAUCAACACUCCUCCCAUACCCCUCAAUUGCCCAAGGACAAUUCACCAUUUUAAUUACAACUGGGCAGAGGUAGAGUUGAGAAAGAUACUACCACAUUCAAAGCACACACAUAAUAUGUACCACUUCACUGAAUAAGCUCAAAUUCCCAAACCAUUUUACUGAAAAGCCCACUUCACAGAAAGUAAUCAUAAAUCAACUUUUUAUCCUUCUCUGUUCCUUAAAACAUACCCAGUGGGACCACUUAUUCUCCUGCACUAAAGACAAAAGUUGACUCCGUGAAGUCUCUGGUUAUUCUUGUCAUAAAGAGUCCAACUGUCAUUUUAAGUCAUAAAAGACAGUUUUGAUUUGGUAACGGAAGUCUUCAGUGCCAUAUUAUAAUCCAAACUUGGUCUUGAUAUCAAGUUGAAACUUCUUACCCCCUUUAUGUCUGCUGCAAAUGGAAAGCAGAGUGGGAGAAGGGUAUGGUUUCCCAGCCUAGGUUUCCAUGUCCUACCCCUCAGCUCCACAACUACAACUUGUAGUUUCUAAUUCCCCCAGAGUUAGAGGGGAAGGAGGGAAGGAAAGGGAGCGGGAAAGUCCCGGCAUGACUGAUGCUGUCAUGAGCUGGUGUCAGCACUGUUCAAUGCCAGCUGGCAGGACACAUGUUAGAUCUACAAGUGGUUUCCUUAGAAUUGAGGGUUGGGGGGAGGGGAUGGGGUGGAAUGGUCUCCUUUGACUUGAGAAAACAGAGGAAGCACAACUUGUACCUCCACAUAGAUUUUAUUUUGACUUAUUCUCCCCAUGAGGUCACAUCAACAGCUCUCUGACAUUAUCCUUUGAAAGUCAUUCCCAAAUAUCUAAUCCCUGCCCUUUUAUUAUACCCUCUGUGAGCAGUGUUGUUGAUAGUCAUGAUUUCUUUGCCUCACACCCAUUAGGUUGGCUAUCAUCAAAAAAAAAAAAAACAAAAAACAAAACAGAAAACAAAAAGUGUUGCUGAGCACAGAGAAAUUGAAACCCUUUGUGCAUUUGGGUACAGAUGUAAAGUAACGUAGCCAUUUUGGAAGACAAUAUGGAGGUUCCUCAAAAAAUUAAAGAUGGAUGAUCCAGCAAUUCCACUCCUAGAUAUAUACUCAAAAGAAGUGAAAGCACAAGCUCAAACAGAUAUUUACACUUCCAUGUUUAAUAGCAGCAUUAUUCACAGCUACCAGAAGGUAGAAGCCACCCAAGCAUCCAUUGACAGAAGAAUGAACAAGAUGUGGGGUAUAUGUACACAAUGGAUUAUUCAGUCUUAAAAAGGAAAAAAGUUCUGAACAUGCUACAGCAUGGAUGGACCUUGAAAAUAUUUUGCUAAAUCAGCCAGACACCAAAGGGCAAAUACUGUACAAUUCCACUUAUGUGAGGUACUUAGAGUAGUCAAAUUCCCAAAGGCCAAAAAUAGAAUGGCAGUUGCCAGGAGCUGGCAGGAGGAGGGGAAUGAGGAAUUAGUGUUUAAUGGGCACAGAGUCUCAGUUUGGGAAGGUGAAAAAGUUCUGACAAUGGAUUGUGGUGAUGGUUGCACAAUAAUGCAAAUGUACUUGAUACUACUAUACUUAAUACUACUGAAUUGUAUGCUUAAAAUUGUUAAGAUAGUAAAUUGUUAUGUUAUUUUACAAUUAAAAAUAAGAAAUUAAAAGUCCUGCUACC
rnacentral:lncRNA from 1 species